rnacentral:rRNA from 1 species
AACGACGCUGGCGGCAGGCCUAACACAUGCAAGUCGAGCGAGAUCUUCGGAUCUAGCGGCGGACGGGUGAGUAACGCGUGGGAAUAUGCCCUUCUCUACGGAAUAGCCUCGGGAAACUGGGAGUAAUACCGUAUACGCCCUUAGGGGAAGAUUUAUCGAGAAGGAUUAGCCCGCGUUGGAUAGUAGUUGGUGGGGUAAUGGCCUACCAAGCCUACGAUCCAUAGCUGGUUUGGAGAGGAUGAUCAGCCACACUGGGACUGAGACACGGCCCAGACUCCUACGGGAGGCAGCAGUGGGGAAUCUUGACAAUGGGGCGAACCCUGAUCUAGCCAUGCCGCGUGAAGGAAGAAGCGCUCAGCGUGUAAACUCUUUUGGACGGGAACAAAGGCAUCACUGCGGUGGUGUUUGAAGGGUACUGUCAGAAUAAGCACCGGCUAACUCCGUGCCAGCAGCCG